UCAUGACCGUUCUGGCACGGGGGGCCUACGGGAGGCAGCAGUAGGGAAUCUUCGGCAAUGGACGAAAGUCUGACCGAGCAACGCCGUCGUGAGUGAAGAAGGUUUUCGGAGUC
rnacentral:rRNA from 1 species